ensembl:lncRNA
AUGCAGUCCUUAAAUGGCAUUGAUGAAUGUGCAGAUUCCUCUUAUAUUAAUUUAAAUGCAUAAGGUUUUUUUUUUGUGUGUUCUUAUUUAGGUUGCUAUAUUACUUUAGAAUGAUCUUGAAAACUAAUGAUUCUUCCCAGUAAUGAUAGCUUCCAGAUGUUGAGUUUGAAGGCUAGUUACAUGAUGCCAUUAUUAAAUUCAUGUAGGAUUAUUGGAUGUUUUCCUUUUCCCAGAAUUUGUUCUGUUUAAUGAUGUUGGAGAGCUGAAUGAGUCAUUUGGGGAAUAAGAAGGGGGCAUAGGACUCAGCAGGACUGUGUGAUUUUACAGAACUUUUCUGUGGUUUUUGAUUUAUGUGCUCAUCCUUCAGACCGCUAAUUCACUUCAUGUCGAUAGUGGAGGGAAAGGAGAGGGAUGGGAAGAAUUUACUUUCUUCAGAUGCUUUAAAGGAAGUAGAAGAAUGUAAAGCUAUCAGUGCCUCAGUUGUUUGGCAGUCUCAUGGUCAUUUGAUGCCAGCAUCUGCCACUGUUUAUUUUCUGUGAAGACAGAGGUACUGGAACAGUUCAGACAUCCCCUUAUCGUGGUCAGAAAGCACAGGGAGAACACAGCCUCUAAAAUGAGUCCUCAAACACAAAACUGCCUAUUGCCACAAGUGGAGCAUCUAGCAAUGACAAAAGCUUCUAAAAAUAAAUGUUGAUAAGAUCACUUGCAAGAAAACGUACUGUUCUUGGCUUCCCUGUGAGAUAAAUGUUGGAACCUUUUAAUCUGAACUUUAGAAAUCAAUAGGUAUUUUUGAAGAAAAAGCACAGCCUUCACUAGUGCGACAACCAUGUUUCUGUAUUGGUAUUUUCUCCCUUCCCAUUUCUUGCCUAAAGCAGAAGGCUGUGAUGGUGUUUUUCUGUUAAACCCUGAGCAGAAUUAUGCUGAUUUUUUUGUGUAUUUAUAAUUCUUUUGCUCUGUACUGUGCUCUUAAACUUCUGUUCCAGAUUAAGCUGAGACUGUGGAAGCCACCCAGUUGGUAAUGACAUUCUUAUUUAACAAACAGUGAUAAUCGGAAUAAUUUCUUUACCUCUACCAAGCUUUCUUGGGAUACAAUGCUUUAACUUAAGCAGACCAGUCCACUGUAAUUAUAUUGUUGUAACUGAAGUAGAAAAACUGAAGUUAAGUACCUAAGCACUUAGAGCUAAUUGGAAAUUUGCUUCUGAUUCUAUUGGAAACAAUUUUACUUGACUUGAGUUUUCCAAUUGGAAGUUAUGGCAGCUGCAGUUAAUUGCAGCCCUUGGGUUGAUACACAGAGGGGCUCCAGGAUGUGGAGGCAGAAACUGGUAAGAAUUGCUGGGUUUCCAUAUGCAUCUGUACAGAAAAGUGGACUGUGCGUUUGGGUGCUAUUGAUAUACAAAUAGUAUUCAACGUUAAGAUUUAAAAAAAGAAAAAGCAUUCCCUGACUCCUAGUGCUAUUAACACUAGGUUUUGGGCAAAAGAUACACUUACUGAUGAGGAAAAAAAUAUAUCUUGUUGGGUGACUUGCCAGAGGAAGGUUUAUAAUCCUUUGUUAAAAGUAUUUGUACCAUGUCUUGUAUCAGGCUUGUUUAGAAUCGUUCAUUUCUGGGACAAGGUUGUCCCGUGUCAGAUUGAAAUGGCAUGCUGUGACUAGCUCUCUUGUUCUAAAAUGUGCUAGGAUCGUACGAAAGCAGUUCCUCAGUUUUCACUCUUUCUUAGCCUUCCUCUUGCUCUUGCAGGAUAUCUUUAUGGCUUGAUGUCUACCAAAAGUGCUUCUCAAAUGUACAGUAAUCAGUUUUUAUGCUUAACAGACAACUGCUUUGCUAGAACCAACCAACACCAGGCUUCUCCCUUCUCUUUCUUGGACAACUUGUAACCUUACGUGGAAAUUCAGCCUGAAAUUCAACUGAUUUGAAAGCUUUGUUAUUGAAUUAAAAUGACCAUGAAUG